GGGCCCUGGGCUUCUACCCUGCGGAGAUCACACUGACCUGGCAGCGGGAUGGGGAGGACCAAACUCAGGACACCGAGCUUGUGGAGACCAGGCCAGCAGGAGAUGGAACCUUCCAGAAGUGGGCAGCUGUGGUGGUGCCUUCUGGAGAAGAGCAGAGAUACACAUGCCAUGUGCAGCACGAGGGGCUGCCGGAGCCCCUCACCCUGAGAUGGGGGCCGUCUUCCCAGCCCACCAUCCCCAUCGUGGGCAUCGCUGCUGGCCUGGCUGUCCUGGCUGUCCUAGCUGUCCUAGGAGCUGUGGUGGCUGUUGUGAUGUGUAGGAGGAAGAGCUCAGGUAGGGAAGGGGUGAGGAGUGGGGUCUGGGUUUUCUUGUCCCACUGGGAGUUUCAAGCCCCAGAUAGAAGUGUGCCCCACCUCGUUACUGGAAGCACCAUCCACACAUGGGCCAUCCCAGCCUGAGACCCUGUGUGCCAGCACUUACUCUGUUGUGAAGCACAUGACAAUGAAGGACAGAUGUAUCACCUUGAUGAUUAUGGUGUUGGGGUCCUUGAUUCCAGCAUUCAUGAGUCAGGGGAAGGUCCCUGCUAAGGACAGACCUUAGGAGGGCAGUUGCUCCAGAACCCACAGCUGCUUUCCCCGUGUUUCCUGAUCCUGCCCUGGGUCUGCAGUCAUAGUUCUGGAAACUUCUCUUGGGUCCAAGACUAGGAGGUUCCCCUAAGAUCGCAUGGCCCUGCCUCCUCCCUGUCCCCUCACAGGGCAUUUUCUUCCCACAGGUGGAAAAGGAGGGAGCUGCUCUCAGGCUGCAUCCAGCAACAGUGCCCAGGGCUCUGAUGAGUCUCUCAUCGCUUGUAAAGCCUGAGACAGCUGCCUGUGUGGGACUGAGAUGCAGGAUUUCUUCACACCUCUCCUUCGUAACUUCAAGAGCCUCUGGCAUCUCUUUCUGCAAAGGCAUCUGAAUGUGUCUGCGUUCCUGUUAGCAUAAUGUGAGGAGGUGGAGAGACAGCCCACCCCUGUGUCCACCGUGACCCCUGUCCCCACACUGACCUGUGUUCCCUCCCCGAUCAUCUUUCCUGUUCCAGAGAAGUGGGCUGGAUGUCUCCAUCUCUGUCUCAACUUCAUGGUGCACUGAGCUGCAACUUCUUACUUCCCUAAUGAAGUUAAGAACCUGAAUAUAAAUUUGUUUUCUCAAAUAUUUGCUAUGAAGGGUUGAUGGAUUAAUUAAAUAAGUCAAUUCCUAGAAGUUAAGAGAGCAAAUAAAGACCUGAGAACCUUCCAGAA
rnacentral:sRNA from 1 species